rnacentral:rRNA from 1 species
CUUGCUGGGGUGAUUAGUGGCGAACGGGUGAGUAACACGUGAGUAACCUGCCCUUAACUCUGGGAUAAGCCUGGGAAACUGGGUCUAAUACCGGAUAUGACUCCUCAUCGCAUGGUGGGGGGUGGAAAGCUUUUUGUGGUUUUGGAUGGACUCGCGGCCUAUCAGCUUGUUGGUGAGGUAAUGGCUCACCAAGGCGACGACGGGUAGCCGGCCUGAGAGGGUGACCGGCCACACUGGGACUGAGACACGGCCCAGACUCCUACGGGAGGCAGCAGUGGGGAAUAUUGCACAAUGGGCGCAAGCCUGAUGCAGCGACGCCGCGUGAGGGAUGACGGCCUUCGGGUUGUAAACCUCUUUCAGUAGGGAAGAAGCGAAAGUGACGGUACCUGCAGAAGAAGCGCCGGCUAACUACGUGCCAGCAGCCGCGGUAAUACGUAGGGCGCAAGCGUUAUCCGGAAUUAUUGGGCGUAAAGAGCUCGUAGGCGGUUUGUCGCGUCUGCCGUGAAAGUCCGGGGCUCAACUCCGGAUCUGCGGUGGGUACGGGCAGACUAGAGUGAUGUAGGGGAACUGGAAUUCCUGGUGUAGCGGUGAAAUACGCAGAUUCAGGAGGAACACCGAUGGCGAAGGCAGGUCUCUGGGCAUUAACUGACGCUGAGGAGCGAAAGCAUGGGGAGCGAACAGGAUUAGAUACCCUGGUAGUCCAUGCCGUAAACGUUGGGCACUAGGUGUGGGGGACAUUCCACGUUUUCCGCGCCGUAGCUAACGCAUUAAGUGCCCCGCCUGGGGAGUACGGCCGCAAG